rnacentral:rRNA from 1 species
ACCAGCUCUUCAAGUGGUCGGGAUAAUUAUUGGGCUUAAAGUGUCCGUAGCCGGAUUGGAAAGUUCCUGGUAAAAUCGGGUAGCUUAACUAUCUGCAUGCUAGGAAUACUAUCAUUCUAGAGGGCGGGAAAGGUCUGAGGUACUACAGGGGUAGGGGUGAAAUCUUAUAAUCCUUGUAGGACCACCAGUGGCGAAGGCGUCAGACUGGAACGCGCCUGACGGUGAGGGACGAAAGCCAGGGGAGCGAACCGGAUUAGAUACCCGGGUAGUCCUGGCCGUAAACGAUGCAUACUAGGUGAUGGCAUGGCCAUGAGCCAUGUCAGUGCCGUAGGGAAACCGUUAAGUGUGCCGCCUGGGAAGUACGGUCGCAGGGCUAAAACUUAAGGAAUUGGGCGGGGGAGCACCACAAGGGGUGGAGCCUGCGGUUC